ensembl:lncRNA
GGGGGAGUUAUUGCAUGGUCUUACAAUUUGUGUGAGUUUGCCAUGCAUUCUAGAGAAGUUUGCCAUGCGUUCUAGAGAAUGGUAGAAGUUUGCCAUGCAUCCCAGAUCAGUGUCUGUAUCCAGCAAGACACAACAAAACCUUCAAUCUAAGUGCGCUGCCUGGAUACAAGAUUGACAUUGCAAAUAAGGACCUGAGCCCUAGGACCAUUCCUCAGGACUACCUGGCCUGAUGACUCCUUGCUGUCCCCAGUCCACCUGGUCGUGCUGCUACUCCAGUUUCAACUGUUCUGCCUGCGGCUAUGGAACUCUGACCUGUUCACCGGACGUGCUACCUGGUUCCGGACCUGCUGUUUUCGACUCUCUCUCUUUACCGCACCUGCUGUCUCUAACUCUGAAUGAUCGGCUAUGAAAAGCCAACUGACAUUUACUCCUGAGGUGCUGACCUGUUGCACCCUCUGCAAACACUGUGAUUAUUAUUAUUUGACCCUGCUGGUCAUCUAUGAACAUUUGAACAUCUUGGCCAUGUACUGUUAUAAUCUCCACCUGGCACAGCCAGAAGAGGACUGGCCACCGCUCAGAGCCUGGUUCCUCUAGGUUUCUUCCUAGGUUCCAGCCUUUCUAUGGAGUUUUUCCUAGCCACCGUGCUUCUAUAUCUGCAUUGAUUGCUGUUUGGGGUUUUAGGCUGGGUUUCUGUAUAGCACUUUGUGACGUCUGCUGAUGUAAAAGGUCUUUAUAAAUACAUUUGAUUGAUUGACCUAACUUCAUUGCUAACAUAUAAAAGAAUGACAUACCAAACCCGUUCUUAGGGCUUUCAGUUUUCACACUCUACAUUUUUGGAAUCACUUACAAAAUGAAUUACAUUUGGAUUCCCUGGUACCACUAGGGCAUUUU